CCUACGGGCGGCAGCAGUAGGGAAUCUUCCACAAUGGGCGCAAGCCUGAUGGAGCAACACCGCGUGAGUGAAGAAGGGUUUCGGCUCGUAAAGCUCUGUUGUUGGAGAAGAACGUGCGUGAGAGUAACUGUUCACGCAUUGACGGUAUCCAACCAGGAAGUCCCGGCUAACUACGUGCCAGCAGCCGCGGUAAUACGGAGGUGGCAAGCGUUAUCCGGAUUUAUUGGGCGUAAAGCGCGCGCAGGCGGUUGCUUAGGUCUGAUGUGAAAGCCUUCGGCUUAACCGAAGAAGUGCAUCGGAAACCGGGCGACUUGAGUGCAGAAGAGGACAGUGGAACUCCAUGUGUAGCGGUGGAAUGCGUAGAUAUAUGGAAGAACACCAGUGGCGAAGGCGGCUGUCUGGUCUGCAACUGACGCUGAGGUACGAAGGCCAGGGGAGCGAAAGGGAUUAGAUACCCGAGUAGUC
rnacentral:rRNA from 1 species